rnacentral:lncRNA from 1 species
GUAAAGGGGAAAGGACAGGACUCAGGACCUUGAGGGAGGCAUUGAGUCAGAGGGCAGAGAGGGGUCAAGGAGACCCAGGCGGGAGGCGCGGAAGCAUACAGUCUGCGGGGACAAGGACUGAACGGGGUAGUGGGAGCCAGCGCAGGUCCCUGGUUCCCUUCACGCCCCCACCCCCAGCCUCAGCUCUGUCUGGGUGGAACGAAUGUCUGCUAAUGAACUAAACAAACAGGUCUCUUAAUCUUAUCAUGGAGCUGACCCAGAGACUGGCACAGAUAUCCAAAGUAUCAUAAUUGGCAGGUCAGAAUUAAAACUACAUACAUCAUGGUGACUUUAUAGCUGAGGCAAAGUGGAGCUCAAGUGUUACUUUCCCAGUAAGCAAAUCAUAAUGAAGUAUCAUGCUGGUGACUAAUUUAACUAACAUUGUCCAGGAAAUUGCUGUUGUCCAGGAAGAGAAGAGUUGAGCCGAGUGUCAACUACUAGGCUUCUGGCACCAUCCUGCACAAGAAAUUGGAGCAUAAGGGACAUUUCCACAUUCUAACUUUACAUGAAGACUCAGGACUUUGAAAGCCCAUGAGAAAGUUUUCAUAAGGAUUUAUCCACAAUUUCUUCUUUGAUUUGCUCAGAUGUGAAGCAGGAAACCUUCCAGACAUCCUGAACCUCUGAACUUUUUGUGGAUUGCCCAUCAACACAGGCAAACAUUCAUGAAGCAAUUCAAAAAUCUCUUCUCACUGCAUUAUAAGCAUGUCCUUACGUUAUUCAUAUAUCAAGAGCAUGCCCAUUCCCAACCCACAAUGGAAUGUGAGCCUAAUUACAUGUUCCUUUGGAAUAAGAUCUCACCAGCCCAGGAGUGUCAGAAACCCUCUAUCAUAUAUACGUAUCUUGUUUCCAAAAUGAUCUUCCCAAGCCACCCUAACAGGCCCCCUUCAGAAUGCUUCCUGCUGACAAGUGAAUCUGCUUUUUGCCUUUCACCCAAUCUCAGCUCAUGCUUUCUCUGUGAAAAUAUCACAGACCACAUCUGACAGUGGUCCAGCUAAUUAAUGUACUCCAAUGUCUAGCAAGCAUUUGACAGGAAAAAUAAUCUAUACAGUAUUUAUUGCAAAAUCUUCACCAAUGUGACAAAGAUGAAUGUAAACUUUACAUAAUCAUUUUUCAUUUGUUAUCCAAAGUUGAAAGUGAUUUUCAAAUGCUAACUUUAAAAUUAUGAUGAGGAAGAUAACAGCUCUGCUUUAAAACUGCUUGGCAAUGGAAUUUCUAUAGUAUAAUGGUUUAGCAAUGAGCUAGAAAAAUAAACUCUCUUGCUAAUGUAGUAAAUGGGCCAGAAAUAAACUUCUCAGGGAUUUGGGUGGUGGGGUGGGGUGAGGGAGGGGCACACAGAGGGGAUAGUGGAAUUGGAUUUCUGGAAUAAAUGAUCUGAAACCCUUAGCACACUAUAUCUUCAAAAAGCAAUGUCUUCCUUUAUAUAAUGCACGUAUCACCAUCACGAUACGAGAGCAACUCGAAGAAUCUUAACGUAUACCACGGUAAACACCUACGGCACCCAACUCAGUCUACAGCAGGACACCCAAAAGUUAAAUUCACUUUGGCUGUGGCUGUGCUCCAGGUACAUAUUUUCUCAUGAGCUUUGUUUCUUUGUUCUAGAACCAUCCUUCCCAAUAUUCCUUAACAUUGAAAUUAUACAUGUUAAAUUAAUUAUUGUUCAUUUAACUGAUGAGCUGAAACUCACGUCCUUCCUUUUGAAAGCUAAAGUAAUCUUCUAAUAAAAGGUCAGGAAUUAUCAAAUUUACUUGUAAUUAUUACUAAUUCUUCUGUGACUUCUUUUUUUUUUUUUUGAGGUGGAGUCUUGCUCUGUCGCCCAGGCUGGAGUGCAGUGGCACGAUCUCGGCUCAUUGCAAGCUCCACCUUCUGGGUUCACACCAUUCUCCUGCCUCAGUCUCCUCAGCAGCUGGGAUUACAGGCGCCCACUACCAUGCCAGGCUAAUUUUUUUUGUAUUUUUUAGUAGAGACGGGGUUUCACUGUUAACCAGGAUGGUCUCGAUCUCCUAACCUCGUGAUCCGCCUGCCUCGGCCUCCCAAAGUGCUGGGAUUACAGGCGUGAGACACCACGCCCGGCCUCUUCUGUGACUUCUUAACCACAAAUAAAGUCUUGGCCUUGGAAAAAGGAAGAUCUGAAACAGAACAAGGCAAUUAAAAAGUGGGUGGAGGAAGUAUAGGAGUAGUGGAGAAAAAAGAAAGGAAUGGAUUUUCUAAAUUUAAAACACUCUUUGCCCUUUCCUGAAAUAAUGACUUAUAUUCUUUGAGUUCACAAGAGAGUAAUUGGAUAUGCAUGAUGCAAUGCUGGAAUUUUAGGUAUUUUGCCUAAAGGUUAUUAACAAUUAGUACCACUAGGGGAAAAAUCAUAAAGUUAGUUAGAAUAACAACCCUCUCUCAAAGGAUAAUGAAAACUGGACUUGUAAUCUGGUCAUAAUAAAAAUAUAUUAUGUUUAUAUUGGAGCCUCACAUGUCAAGAGGAAAACUCACAAACUAGAAUAUGUCCAACAGGUGGCCAUGACUAAAUGAAGACUGAAAAACAAGUUGUAUGAGGACCAAUGAAGGAAUCUUCCUUUGAAGCAGUAAAGACUGCGAAAAAAAACAUGAAAAACUGUCUUUAGAUAAAUCCUUUAACAGGAAUGGUACACAGAACAGGGAGAUGUUAUAAGUGGAGCUACUGAUGACAGCAUUAGAGCCAAAGGGUGAAAGGCAGAUGUUGAGUCAUUCAAUAGAAGAGGUGUCUGAUCUCUUCCUAUCCAAUGUAGCAGAAUCCAUCCCAUACUAUAUCUGAAAGAUGACCACUUUGCUUUGACAUUUGCAGUGGUACAGAACUCACUAUCUCAAGAAUACCUUCCUCGGGAUGGUAAUAAGUAUGAGAAAUGCCCUUUCUAGUUCUAAAUUUCUUCUCCACAAGACAACUCAUUCCAUUUUCAAACAAUUAUUAGAUCUAUCCAUCUCUUAGUCUUCUAUUUGUCAAGCAAACAUCUCCAAUUCCUCACAUCAUUAUUAAUUCAGUAUUGUGAACCUUGUACCAUUUUAGUCACCAGCUUUGUGGAUAAUCUUUGGAUUGUAGUGUCUGUAACUGACAUCCAAAUUAAGUGCUCUUGAUAUGGUCUAACUAGCAACUGACCCCAUCCAUAUUUCUAUUUCCAAAGCAGAGAAACAAGAAAAUCAAUUGGCCAAUAUAACUGAAUAAAUCCAGGUAAAUACAUAUUUGGCUUUCAAUUAGUCAGGAAGUCUGAAUUUCUAGAGGAUAUUGAAGAUACAGCAUCAGACAAUGCAUUUGUCUGAUUGCUGACAACUUUUAAUUUCCCUGUUCAAGAAAAUCGAUCAAUGUGUGUUAGCUAAACACCUGUUAUGUUCAACCCUGUGUUAGUCAUCAUUUGAUGUGUAACAGAAGUGUAAGGCCAGGUACCUACAAUAUUUGUAGAGUCAAUACUAAGGUACAUGAAAUAAUUUUAGAGUUUUUACAAGAUAUACAUCAUUAUGUAUACUUAUAUGAAAUAGUCUCAAGUUCAGCAGGGAAGACUGGGCCCAGGUGGGCUGAGGAAUGCAUGUGAAGAGGUAGGGAGGCAGGAAACUUGAAGGAUGGUUAGGGCUUGUCUAUUUGGAAUGGAGAGAGAGGCCACAAAGGAGUGCGUGUGUAGAAAUAAUGAGUAAUAAAGGAGGUCAAGGUUAGUAGGGACGUGUGUGGUUACAAAUAGAAAUAUUUGGAUUUGUACCAUAACAUUUCUAUUACAACUUCCUUUCUCCCAUUCCAAACAUGCUUGGUUUUACAGAAAAAACUUCCAGGACUCAGAUUUCCAUGGGUAUUAGUUUGCAAACUAAUCCCUGAUGAGAUAUUAUGAGGAGCUAAGAGAGUGAUGCUAGAAUUCUCAAGUGGCAAUGGCAAAUUUCAGGGCUGACUUCCUGGAUAACCAAUUCUUUUUUUUUAUUCUGAGCAUGGGAAUUUCAGUUCAUCCAGCAGAAGAAAUGUUUUUUGAUAGAUGUGACUUUUGGUACAUUUUGAAUUAUGUCAUCUUGGGGACAAAUGGUCCCAAAAGCCAAGGUCCUAAAUGUGUACAUCUGAUCCAACUCUAAGAACUUUUGCUCAGUUGUGACGUCAAAGAAUUUCUAUUUUAGAGUGGUCUUCUGCAACUGAUACCAUCCAUAUUUCUGUCUCCAAAGCAGAGAAACAAGAAAAUCAAUUUGCCAAUAUAACUGAAUAAAUCCAGGUAAAUACAUAUUUGGCUUUCAAUUAGCCAGGGAGUCUGAAUUUCUAGAGAAUAUUGAAGAGACAGCGUCAGACAAUGCAAUUUCCUUUAAUAGGGACCAUAACCUCAGAGUUGCUGCUCUGUUUUUUAAUAUUGUACAAUUAACUUUUUUUUUUUUUGCAGCACACUCUGCUUAUAGCUUCUGUGGAAACUUAAACAUUAUUCAAUAGAAUAAUUUCCUGGAAAAUCUUUUGAAAGUGGUCACAGCCCUGACCUUGCUCUGGUGCCCUGGGUCCACCAGCAUGCUGUUUCAUUACCUCAGGAAGGUUUGGUGCCAAGAGACAGUCCAAGAGUUAGUGCAUAAAGAAAGCUAGGUUCAUAAAAGAAUUAAUAUCUGCCUUCUUUCAAGGAGGGAAACUGCCACUUCCAACCAUUUUAUGCAUCUAUCACUUCUCUUCUAUCUUCAUCAUUCAACCCUUCAACUGGCCUACCUAGAUGACAGGUAAAAAUUAUAGAUUUUUAACUCUUAAGAAAUAACUGCCGAAGUCAUUUCUUCCAAACCAUUCUCAUUACCAAUGGGAAACUCAGGCCCAGAAAGCCUAAAUGACUUUUGCAAGACCACAGAGUAAGUAGCAGAGUCAGGACUUAAACUCCACAUUGCAGAAGAUGAACCAGGGAUGAUAUUUUUAAAACUUAGCAAUGGUAUGACAAAAUCACCAAACAGUUAGAAUAGAGCCUCUGAUUGUACUGGUGUGCCAUUAAAUACCAGCCCCAACUGGAUUACAGUGUAUAUCAGUAAUACUUUAAGGGAUAAAGAGAAAAAAUGUGCCACUUACUAUCAAGCUAUUUAAAGGAGCUAGGUAAUAAAAUAAUCAUAAUUUAUUUUUACUGUUGGUUCUUCCCUUUUUCAUCUUUUUGCCUUUUUUUUCCAUUGUCUUUCUUGUUACUAAUCCUGUGAAAAUUCACCCUCUGUUUGGCAGCCCGGGUCAUUGUUAUUUGUGCUAAGCUCCUAUAUUAUUAGUCUGUUAUCAUAUUGCCAUAAAAAAACUACUUGAAGCCAGGCGAGGUGGCUCAUGUCUGUAAUCCUAGCACUUUGGGAGGCCGAGGCAGGCAGAUCACUUGAGGUCAGGGGUUUGAAACCCGACUGGCCAACAUGGUGGAACCCUGUCUCUACUAAAAGUACAAAAAUUAGCUGGAAAUUGCUUGAACCCAGGAGGUGAAGGUUGCAGUGGGCCGAGAUCGUGCCACUACACUCCAGCCUGGGCAACAGAACAAGAGUCCGUCUCCAAAAAAAAUAAAAACAAACAAACAAACAAACAAACAAAAAAAAACAGCACAACUACUUGAGACUGGGUGAUUUAUACAGAAAAAAACAUUUUAUUGAUUCACAGUUCCAUAGGCUGUAUAGGAAGCAUGGGUGGGGAGGCCUCAGGAAACUUGCAAUCAUGGUGGAAGCCAAAGCAGGCACAUCUUACAUGGCCAGAGGAAGAAGCAAGCAAAGGUGGAGGUGCUACACACUUUUCAACCACCAGAUCUCAUGAGAACUCACGCACUAUCACGAGAACAGCAAGGGGGAAAUUCACCUUCAUGAUCCAGUCACCUCCCACUGGGCCCCUCCUCCAAUUCUGGGGAUUAUAAUUCCACAUGAGAUUUGGGCAGGGACACAAAUCCAAACCAUAUAAGCUCCAUUCUGCAUUCAAGUGUAUGUUGGUCUUGCCAAAAUUAUCAAUACCUUCUCCGUAAAUACCACUUUCAAGCCUUGUAGGUUAAGCCCUGAUUAUGUUUGUAAAAGUAGCUUGAUCUACAUGUCUACAAUUGUUCUCUAAUUUGCUUUAUCCAAAUGGAAAAAAAAACACACAAUAUUUUAGGCCUUGAUUUUCAUCAUGAAUUUUUAAAAAUCUAAAAUUGCCUCUUCAUUGUGUUAUUUCAAAAUCAUGAGAUAUCCUUUCAUUGCUUCUACUGAUAAGGUUGUUUGUAACUCAAAAUCAUAAUUGGUAGAUCAACAGAAUAAAAUUAUGAGAUACAAAUAUACAUUUGAUUAUUAUUGCUACUGGUUAGAGCCUUCACUAUGACAUGCAGUGACAUGCUCACAGAAAUGACAAGCCCUAAAACUUCUUGCUUUUUGGUUAAACACUUUAUGAUUAAACAUUUCAAUCUUUAAACUUUCUAAUAGUAUCUUGAAAUUGUGUAUCUCAUUUUAACAUUUUUAAGCCACUUAGACAAAUGACUUUUUGCCAUGCUUGCUUGACUUUUUUUCUUGCAUGGACUUACAGAUAAAGGUGGUCUCAUCCCUAAUGAACAUAUGAGGCCACAAGAAUUUCUCCUUUUUUUUUUUUUUUUUUUUUGUUGUUGUUGUUGUUUAUUUUUGAUACAGGGUCUUGCUCUGUCACCCAGGCUGGAGUACAGUGGCAGGAACAAAGCUCACUGCAGCCUCAGAGUCCUGGACUCAAACCAUACUCCCACCUCAGCCUCCUGAGUAGCUGAGACCCAGGAGCACUCACCACUUCCAGCUAAUUUUUUGUAGAGACAGGAUCUUAAACUCCUGGGUUCAAGCAGACUGCCCACCUCUGUCUCCCAUGUGCUGUGAUUACAGGAGUGAGCCACCAUGCUUGGACAGUUUCUCCUCUUGAAUCAUCAACAGUCCCUGUAAAGUCUCAAGAAAAGUGUUUGGAGUAUCCAUAAUGUGCUAAGUCACUUAGGAACAAAGUUACACAAAACACAUCCCCAGUUUUUGUCUCUAUGCUUUCAAGAUGGGUGAAACUUUAUGUUUGAAGUUUCAUGUUUUAUGCCAAGCAUGAUGAGAGAUAGAGGAAUGGGAAGACUUGGUCUUACAGGUUAAAGAUGUGAAACAUACAAAACAUGCUCUCAUGAGAUAAUUAGACAAACAAGUCAGUGUGAUUGAGAGCAACAUGCUGGGAACUGGUUUAGAGGCUCCUGGAGGUAAGGACAGAGUCACUGUUACAUGUUUGGGGUAUUUUGCUGAAGCAUCGCAGAGGCAGCAUUGUCCUCGUCAACAGGAGAUGGGGCGGGAGGAAAGGAGAGCAGAGGGCUGCAACCAAAGCAACCCAGGGUCCAGGUGACAGAUCUCCCCUAUUGGUAAAAUGUGAUUCAUGUGGUAGCACCGCACUGGGAGCUUCAGUACCUUUAACUUUCUCUCUCAGGCUUUUACACCUGGUGAACGUCUAGAAUAACUGCCACAGAAAAUACAUCUAUGACAUUUAAUCACUGAGUGUUCGAGAGAAGGCAAAGCCCGGACACCAAGUAAGCCAGGUACCCCUGAGGCAAACUCCAGAGGCUUCCCUGGGCCGUGAAACCAGCCAAAGAAGGCAAAAUUCACCCACCCUCCAAAAGACGUUUGCGUUCCCACGCAUGUUCUCCGCCCUGAGAUAGCUUAGAACACAGCUCUACCAACGACUUUUCAUUUCCAUUAACCUAUUCCUGAUUCUUUGAUUCAAGGAACCUUGCCAUCCUUAGCUCUUUGGAUUAUUUAUGAGGUCUGAUUUAUAAUACAAAAUUAUACAGUGUACCAUAGUUAAAACCUUGAAGGAAAAAAUGCAUUUUGUAUUUCUUCUUCUUGGAGAGGCCCAAACACCCCUCCCCAGGGUUGGAAAGGAGAGUGGAGGUAGGGUAAUGGAACUCCCUCUCAGGCCUCUGAAUAUGGAGAAAUUAAGAAGAAUGGGAUGGGGUUGGGGGACAGAGGUAGUAAGCAAACAAAUGACUUAUUUUUAAUCUAGAGUUACCCAUUUGGAGAGAGAUACAGGGUUAUAUCCUAACGGUACCUUUUUAAAAAAUAAGUCAUAAGUAUGCUCAUGCCCUAACAAGUUAGUGAAUUUUUCCAGUAAAAUUAAAAUUAAAUAGAAAGCCAUGGUAAAUUACCCAUUUCAUUUCUCCUUCUAGAUUUAAAAAAAAAAAAAGAGGCACUUUGUCGCUUCUUACUGUGAGUGCACUUCAGCCUUAAUACAUGCAUUUAUGUCAAGGGGGCCAUUUACACUGUUGUCUGCUGGAGUUUUUCUUCUUUCAACUUAGUAGGGAAUAUUUGUAAUCUUUAUUACCCCAAAUAAAUC